rnacentral:rRNA from 1 species
GACGAACGCUGGCGGCGCGCCUAACACAUGCAAGUCGAACGGAGUUGAUUUUUCUGAAGUUUUCGGAUGGACGAAGAAUUAACUUAGUGGCGAACGGGUGAGUAACGCGUGGGUAACCUGCCUUUUAGAGGGGGACAACAGUUGGAAACGACUGCUAAUACCGCAUAAGACCACAGUACCGCAUGGUACAGUGAUCAAAGGAGCAAUCCGCUAAAAGAUGGGCCCGCGUCUGAUUAGAUAGUUGGUGGGGUAACGGCCUACCAAGUCGACGAUCAGUAGCCGGACUGGGAGGUUGAUCGGCCACAUUGGGACUGAGACACGGCCCAGACUCCUACGGGAGGCAGCAGUGGGGAAUAUUGCACAAUGGGGGAAACCCUGAUGCAGCGACGCCGCGUGAGGGAAGAAGGUAUUCGUAUUGUAAACCUCUGUCUUCGGGGACGAUAAUGACGGUACCCGAGGAGGAAGCACCGGCUAACUACGUGCCAGCCGCCGCAGUAAUAC